UUAAUCCUGAUGUGUUUGUUUAUUAAACGUAUUUUGACCGAACAACAGUUUACUUGGGAGCUUACUAAUAUCGUUUUUAUGGUGCAUACAUGCCCCAAGCGUGAAUGGGGAAGUAUAAUACACAUAAAACAUAGCACCCACCUGCUAAAAGCGGGAUCAAAACUCAAAAUAGACGGCAUAAUCGGGAUAAAG
rnacentral:other from 1 species